GGUCGGGUGGCGCAAUGGUAGCGCGUUGUCUUCCGGUGAUAUGACUCGCCUAAGUCAAUAAUCUGAACCUGGCAAAGGCUCUGGGUUCGAAUCCCAGCUCGAUCG